rnacentral:rRNA from 1 species
GAUGAACGCUAGCUACAGGCUUAACACAUGCAAGUCGAGGGGAAACGACAUCGAAAGCUUGCUUUUGAUGGGCGUCGACCGGCGCACGGGCGAGUAACGCGUAUCCAACCUGCCCACCACUUGGGGAUAACUUUGCGAAAGUAAGACUAAUACCCAAUGAUAUCUCUAGAAGACAUCUGAAAGCGAUUAAAGAUUUAUCGGUGAUGGAUGGGGAUGCGUCUGAUUAGCUUGUUGGCGGGGUAACGGCCCACCAAGGCAACGAUCAGUAGGGGUUCUGAGAGGAAGGUCCCCCACAUUGGAACUGAGACACGGUCCAAACUCCUACGGGAGGCAGCAGUGAGGAAUAUUGGUCAAUGGACGAGAGUCUGAACCAGCCAAGUAGCGUGCAGGAUGACGGCCCUAUGGGUUGUAAACUGCUUUUAUAAGGGAAUAAAGUGAGUCUCGUGAGGCUUUUUGCAUGUACCUUAUGAAUAAGGACCGGCUAAUUCCGUGCCAGCCGCCGCGGUAA